rnacentral:rRNA from 1 species
UACGUAGGUGGCAAGCGUUGUCCGGAAUUAUUGGGCGUAAAGCGCGCGCAGGCGGUCCUUUUAAGUCUGAUGUGAAAGCCCACGGCUCAACCGUGGAGGGUCAUUGGAAACUGGGGGACUUGAGUACAGAAGAGGAAAGCGGAAUUCCACGUGUAGCGGUGAAAUGCGUAGAGAUGUGGAGGAACACCAGUGGCGAAGGCGGCUUUCUGGCCUGUUCUUGACGCUGAGGCGCGAAAGCUAGGGUAGCAAACGGG